rnacentral:rRNA from 1 species
UGGGGAAUCUUGCACAAUGGGGGAAACCCUGAUGCAGCGACGCCGCGUGAACGAUGAAGCCCUUCGGGGUGUAAAGUUCUUUCGACAGGAACGAUAAUGACGGUACCUGGAGAAGAAGCUGCGGCUAACUACGUGCCAGCAGCCGCGGUAAUACGUAGGCAGCGAGCGUUGUUCGGAGUUACCGGGCGUAAAGAGUGCGUAGGCGGCGAGCCGAGUUUGGUGUGAAAUCUCCCGGCUUAACCGGGAGGGUGCGCCGAAAACUGGUUGGCUGGAGUAUGGGAGAGGAAAGCGGAAUUCCUGGUGUAGCGGUGAAAUGCGUAGAUAUCAGGAGGAACACCGGCGGUGUAGACGGCUUGCUAGACCAUAACUGACGCUGAGGCACGAAAGCGUGGGUAGCAAACA